CCGUGGGAAGUUUGUUUAUUGCUCAGCUAGAGAGUUAGAAAGAGCUUCAAUGAUUUGGGUUUGGUGGUUUUGAAUGUUUGAGAUCCUGUUUUGCAUACUGAGUAUAUAUGCCUAAUUGCUGGAGGGUCCUGAUGAAUUAAAGGUUGUAUCAUCAACUGCAAUAGCUAUUGCAGUGGACUUGUAAUGAGCUGUGCUUGAUUGUAAAGCUUUAAUGGAUGUGGCUCUUUAAUUCUGAUUUCUUGACCAGUGUAUUCUUUCGUAUUGAUUGCCUUUAUUAGUGCAUGUAUGUUCAAAGAGUAGUCCUCCAUUGCUGAGCAGGUGAUCUUUGACUUCCGCUUUUCGGCUCUUUUGGCUAUUGGAGGUUCAUUGGCUGGUUCGGUUUUGUGCUUCCUAAAUGGUAGUGUUUACAUUGUUGAUGUGUAUAAAGUGUACUAGACAAGCUGCGUGAAAGGAAUUCACACUGGACAGAUGGUUCUUCAACUGGUUGAAGCCAUUGAUGUUUAUCUAGCUGGAACUGUCAUGCUGAUAUUUGGUAUGGGCUUGUAUGGAUUAUUUAUCAGUAUGUAUCUCCUGAUGUACCAACUUCUGUUGAUCGUGCUCUCAAGGGCUCUUCUUUGUUUGGGAUGUUUGCUCUAAAGGUAAGCUUCGAACUCCUGUACUGCAGGGACAUCAUUCACAUAUAUCAGUUUUUGCUUGUAUCGUACACCAGUAAGAAAAUGUUUUGUUAUAGUCAUGACCUGCUGCCACUAAGGCACUUUACAUGCUCUUGCUGAGAGCAUUAAAUACGGAGAAAAAUUGUUCGUCCAGGAGAUUUCAACUGAUCAACUCGUGGCAGGUGCUGCAGCUGUGGACGAUCUUCCCUUGUUGUGGACAGCCUUGCUUCGUGAUGAACUUCUUGUAUUUGGCCUAAUGCUUUCCUAUCUGAUAAACU